rnacentral:misc_RNA from 1 species
AUAAGCUUCUCAUACUGGGAAAAUGUUGGCCUAAGCUCCAACUCCGCAUGUAAAUUUUUGAAUUCAAGGAUGACAUCUUCAACCGCACUUGGCAUGCUAAUUGUAUAAUUACAAAUGAAUUUUGAGAUGUCUUUUGCUCCAAUACCUGUUGUUACCAACUCCUGAAGAAAUAUCUUAGCGAAGGACUCCAAUAGCAACUUCCCCAAGAACUUGAAGAUAUUUGCGACAAAAUCAAUAGAUGAAACUUUUGUUAUGUCAAUAGUUCUUAGAACCCUCACAAAAUCCUCAACUCGGUCACUUUCGCACAGUGCUAAGAGGUAGUUUUCUUGAAAGGCAGAUUUAUCAGCACCAUCAUAAAGAGAAAGAUGGUAGAGGAGUUCUUCUAUUUUAUCUUCAUUUUCCACCUUAGCCCAAAGCAACAUCUCAUAGUAAGUUAAUCUCACAAGUGAAUCAGCA